GUACGGGAGGCAGCAGUGGGGAAUUUUGCGCAAUGGGCUAACGCCUGACGCAGCAACGCCGCGUGGAGGAUGAAGGUCUUUGGAUUGUAAACUCCUGUCAGCAGGGAAAAAGCGAUAGGUGCUCAUACCACCUAAAGUUGAUUGUACCUGCAGAGGAAGCCCCGGCUAACUCUGUGCCAGCAGCCGCGGUAAUACAGAGGGGGCAAGCGUUAUUCGGAAUUAUUGGGCGUAAAGGGCGCGUAGGCGGCUUGGCAAGUGGAUGGUGAAAUCCCUCGGCUUAACCGAGGAACUGCCAUCCAGACUGCUUUGCUUGAGGCCGGGAGAGGCGAGUGGAAUUCCCAGUGUAGCGGUGAAAUGCGUAGAUAUUGGGAGGAACACCAGUGGCGAAGGCGGCUCGCUGGACCGGUUCUGACGCUGAGGCGCGAAAGCGUGGGGAGCAAACGGGAUUAGAUACCCGUGUAC
rnacentral:rRNA from 1 species